AUUGAACGCUGGCGGCAGGCCUAACACAUGCAAGUCGAACGAGUGGCGGACGGGUGAGUAAUGUCUGGGAAACUGCCUGAUGGAGGGGGAUAACUACUGGAAACGGUAGCUAAUACCGCAUACCAUCGGAUGUGCCCAGAUGGGAUUAGCUAGUAGGUGGGGUAAAGGCUCACCGAGGCGACGAUCCCUAGCUGGUCUGAGCGGAUGACCAGCCACACUGGGACUGAGACACGGUCCAGACUCCUACGAGAGGCAGCAGUGGGGAAUAUUGGACAAUGGGCGCAAGCCGGAUGCAGCCAGGCCGGGUGUAUGAAGAAGGCCUUCGGGUUGUAAAGUACUUGCAGCGGGGAGGCGUUACCCGCAGAAGAAGCACCGGCUGACUCCGUGCCAGCAGCCGCGGUAAUAC
rnacentral:rRNA from 1 species